GCCUAAAUACAAGCCCCACUAAUUUUAUAACCUUACCCUCAUAAAAUAAAACAUUUUUAUCAUUAAGUAACGGCGAUUAAAAAAUGAUUAAGAGCUAUAAAAACAGUACCGCAAGGGAAACGUGAAAUAAAAAUGAAAAUCCAAAGCACAAUAAAGCAAAGUUUUAAUCUUGUACCUUUUGCAUCAUGGUCUAGCUAGUUCAACCAAGCAAAACGCAUUUAAAGUUUGACACCCCGAAACUAAGCGAGCUACUUUAAAACAGCCUCCUAGGGCCAACUCAUCCCUGUAGCAAAAGGGUGAGAAGAUUUUAAGGUAGAGGUGACACACCUACCGAGCUCAGAGAUAGCUGGUUAUUCAGGAAAAGGAUUUUAGUCCCUCUUUAAGUUUUUAAUCUAACACUAAAUGCCAAAUAAACUUAAAAGUUAUUCAAAUAAGGUACAGCCUAUUUGAACUAGGAAACAACCUAUGACACAGGGUAAUAAUUUACUGAUGUGACCAAGUAGGCCUAAAAGCAGCCAACUUCUAAAUAGCGUCCAAGCUUUAUCACCAACCAUCGUCAAUCCUACUAUUUACCUAUAACCCACAACCACUACUGAAUGACCCCAUACCCGUAUGGGGGACAUUAUGCUAGAACUAGUAACAAGAAGACAACUUCUCCAAAAUAUAAACGUAAGCCAAAAUGAACCCCUCACCGGCACUUAUCGCCACAAACCCACAGUAUUAACCCCACAAGAAAAUCUUACUAUACUAGACGUUAACCUUACACAAGAACAUUUCCGGAAAGAUUAAAAGAGGGGGAAGGAACUCGGCAAAUAUUAGCCCCGCCUGUUUACCAAAAACAUCGCCUCUUGACAAACUAUAAGAGGUCCAGCCUGCCCGGUGACAAAAGUUAAACGGCCGCGGUACCCUAACCGUGCAAAGGUAGCACAAUCACUUGUUCUCUAAAUUAGGACUAGUAUGAAUGGCCUCACGAGAGCUAUACUGUCUCCCCCCUUCAAUCAGUGAAACUGAUCUCCUCGUGAAGAAGCGAGGAUGCCUAAAUUAGACGAGAAGACCCCAUGGAGCUUAAAACUUGUAUCACUGCCUUAACCACACCAACUACUUAGGCAAAAUGACUACCAGUCUUUCGGUUGGGGCGACCACGGAGAAAAAUUCAACCUCCACGAUGAAAGAAACACCUCCUAAUUAAAGAGCUACUACUCUAAAAAUCAAUAAAUUGACAUAAUUGACCCAAACACUUUGACCAACGAACCAAGUUACCCUGGGGAUAACAGCGCAAUCCAUUUCAAGAGACCCCAUCGACAAAUGGGCUUACGACCUCGAUGUUGGAUCAGGGUACCCAAGUGGUGCAGCCGCUACUAAAGGUUCGUUUGUUCAACGAUUAAAACCCU
rnacentral:rRNA from 1 species